rnacentral:rRNA from 1 species
GACGAACGCUGGCGGCGUGCCUAAUACAUGCAAGUAGAACGCUGAAGCUUGGUGCUUGCACCGAGCGGAUGAGUUGUGAACGGGUGAGUAACGCGUAGGUAACCUGCCUGGUAGCGGGGGAUAACUAUUGGAAACGAUAGCUAAUACCGCAUAAGUGUAGAUGUUGCAUGACAUUUGCUUAAAAGGUGCAAUUGCAUCACUACCAGAUGGACCUGCGUUGUAUUAGCUAGUUGGUGAGGUAACGGCUCACCAAGGCAACGAUACAUAGCCGACCUGAGAGGGUGAUAGGCCACACUGGGACUGAGACACGGCCCAGACUCCUACGGGAGGCAGCAGUAGGGAAUCGUCGGCAAUGGACGGAAGUCUGACCGAGCAACGCCGCGUGAGUGAAGAAGGUUUUCGGAUCGUAAAGCUCUGUUGUAAGAGAAGAACGAGUGUGAGAGUGGAAAGUUCAAACUGUGACGGUAUCUUACCAGAAAGGGACGGCUAACUACGUG